rnacentral:rRNA from 1 species
UACGGAGGGGGCUAGCGUUGUUCGGAAUUACUGGGCGUAAAGCGUACGUAGGCGGCUUUGUAAGUUAGAGGUGAAAGCCCGGGGCUCAACCCCGGAAUUGCCUUUAAGACUGCAUCGCUUGAAUCGCGGAGAGGUGAGUGGAAUUCCGAGUGUAGAGGUGAAAUUCGUAGAUAUUCGGAAGAACACCAGUGGCGAAGGCGGCUCACUGGACGCGUAUUGACGCUGAGGUACGAAAAGCGUGGGGGAGCAAACAGG